rnacentral:rRNA from 1 species
UCGCCUCUUGCAAAAUCAAUGAAUAAGAGGUCCCGCCUGCCCCGUGACACAUUGCUUCAACGGCCGCGGUAUUUUAACCGUGCGAAGGUAGCGUAAUCAUUUGUCCUUUAACUGGGGACCUGUAUGAAUGGCACAACGAGGGCUCCGCUGUCUCCUUUUUCAAGUCAAUGAAAUUGAUCUCCCCGUGCAGAAGCGGGGAUAGUACCAUAAGACGAGAAGACCCUAUGGAGCUUUAGACACUAAGGCAGAUCACGUUAAACACUCCCGAAUAAAGGAUUAAACAUGUGACCCACUGCCCUGACGUCUUUGGUUGGGGCGACCAUGGGGGAAUAAAAAGCCCCCGCGAGGAAUGGGCACACCGUUCCUACAACCAAGAGCCUCCGCUCUAAUUACCAGAAUUUCUGACCUGCAUGAUCCGGCAAAGCCGAUCAACGGACCAAGUUACCCUAGGGAUAACAGCGCAAUCCCCUUUUAGAGCCCGUAUCGACAAGGGGGUUUACGACCUCGAUGUUGGAUCAGGACAUCCUAAUGGUGCAACCGCUAU